rnacentral:tRNA from 1 species
GCAGUGGCUCAGCGGUAGAGCGCUCCCCUAGCACUUGAGAGGUGCUGGGUUCCAUCCUCAGCACCACA